rnacentral:lncRNA from 1 species
CUUCUGGGUUGGAGCAUAGCAUUGAUUAGAGUUAUGUGAAAACUUGCUCCUAAACAGAGCAGUCAAAUGGCUGCUGUGGGUUCAGAUUUUCAUCUCCAAGUUUCUUCCCACCUGUUAUUGCUUUAUGGAUAAAUGUCACCAAGGUAGCUCUAUAGCUACCUCUUUGAUUUAAAGUACUGAAUUCCUCCUAAAAUGCUGCAGCAGUAAGAUUAUAGGACUGAGAGACUGGGCUAUGAGGACAACCUUCCCCUUUGAGAACUAGAAACAGAUUGCUAUGAUAGAAGAAAUAUAUAUGACAUCAGUUAAGAAUGAACUGACUGAUAGCAAGAGAGAAGGACAAUUUCAUUAGAUCCAUUAAGAAGUCUUACAAGUCUACAUCCAAUGAGAAGAAGAGAGACCAAAGCAGACCC